GACGAACGCUGGCGGCGUGCUUAACACAUGCAAGUCGAACGAAGAGCGAUGGAAGCUUGCUUCUAUCAAUCUUAGUGGCGAACGGGUGAGUAACGCGUAAUCAACCUGCCCUUCAGAGGGGGACAACAGUUGGAAACGAAUGCUAAUACCGCAUACGAUCCAAUCUCGGCAUCGAGGAUGGAUGAAAGGUGGCCUCUAUUUAUAAGCUAUCACUGAAGGAGGGGAUUGCGUCUGAUUAGCUAGUUGGAGGGGUAACGGCCCACCAAGGCGAUGAUCAGUAGCCGGUCUGAGAGGAUGAACGGCCACAUUGGGACUGAGACACGGCCCAGACUCCUACGGGAGGCAGCAGUGGGGAAUCUUCCGCAAUGGACGAAAGUCUGACGGAGCAACGCCGCGUGAGUGAUGACGGCCUUCGGGUUGUAAAGCUCUGUUAAUCGGGACGAAAGGUCCUCUUGCGAAUAGUUAGAGGAAUUGACGGUACCGGAAGAGAAAGCCACGGCUAACUACGUG
rnacentral:rRNA from 1 species